GUUCGACCAAAGGUCCAAGGCAAACCACCACCUCCGCCGGACUCUCCAUGUCGUCUCCUGCCGCCCCCUGCCCACUCACUUCGCCGGUCGCCGCCUUGUGGCCAGGGCGCCCAGGCAGCAUCAACCUCGCCUCGCGGACUGGACCGUCAAGGCGCUCGCCAUGGGGGUCACCAAGGAGGCCAGCCCUCACAGGGAGUACCGGGGGAUCCCGG
rnacentral:misc_RNA from 1 species